UUGCUUCUCUUGAGAGCGGCGGACGGGUGAGUAAUGCCUAGGAAUCUGCCUGGUAGUGGGGGAUAACGUCCGGAAACGGACGCUAAUACCGCAUACGUCCUACGGGAGAAAGCAGGGGACCUUCGGGCCUUGCGCUAUCAGAUGAGCCUAGGUCGGAUUAGCUAGUUGGUGGGGUAAUGGCUCACCAAGGCGACGAUCCGUAACUGGUCUGAGAGGAUGAUCAGUCACACUGGAACUGAGACACGGUCCAGACUCCUACGGGAGGCAGCAGUGGGGAAUAUUGGACAAUGGGCGAAAGCCUGAUCCAGCCAUGCCGCGUGUGUGAAGAAGGUCUUCGGAUUGUAAAGCACUUUAAGUUGGGAGGAAGGGCAGUAAAUUAAUACUUUGCUGUUUUGACGUUACCGACAGAAUAAGCACCGGCUAACUCUGUGCCAGCAGCCGCGGUAAUACAGAGGGUGCAAGCGUUAAUCGGAAUUACUGGGCGUAAAGCGCGCGUAGGUGGUUCGUUAAGUUGGAUGUGAAAUCCCCGGGCUCAACCUGGGAACUGCAUUCAAAACUGACGAGCUAGAGUAUGGUAGAGGGUGGUGGAAUUUCCUGUGUAGCGGUGAA
rnacentral:rRNA from 1 species